AGUGAACGCUGGCGGUAGGCCUAACACAUGCAAGUCGAACGGCAGCACAGUAAGAGCUUGCUCUUACGGGUGGCGAGUGGCGGACGGGUGAGGAAUACAUCGGAAUCUACUUUUUCGUGGGGGAUAACGUAGGGAAACUUACGCUAAUACCGCAUACGACCUACGGGUGAAAGCAGGGGAUCUUCGGACCUUGCGCGAUUGAAUGAGCCGAUGUCGGAUUAGCUAGUUGGCGGGGUAAAGGCCCACCAAGGCGACGUUCCGUAGCUGGUCUGAGAGGAUGAUCAGCCACACUGGAACUGAGACACGGUCCAGACUCCUACGGGAGGCAGCAGUGGGGAAUAUUGGACAAUGGGCGCAAGCCUGAUCCAGCCAUACCGCGUGGGUGAAGAAGGUCUUCGGGUUGUAAAACCCUUUUGUUGGGAAAGAAAAGCAGCGGGUUAAUACCCCGCUGUUCUGACGGUACCCAAAGAAUAAGCACCGGCUAACUUCGUG
rnacentral:rRNA from 1 species